UCUAUAACUCAAGACUUAAUCCUGCUUAAUGGGGGCCUGAUGUCCACAUUUGUGGACACUUACACUGUCAUCUAGUGGUGUCAGAAGAGUACAACACACUACAGGUUAAAUUCAAGAUGGCAGCAAGCACACCAGAACUUUCGGACGACCAUUCCCAGUGGAAACAUCAAUCAGAGCGUAUUUCUCUGUCAAGAGCAGAGUGGAUACUAGGGACAAUUGUUGGUGACAACUCAGAGGUGGAGGAUUUGUCUGACAUCGAUGAUCCUGUGUGGGAUGCUGAUUAUCAACCCCCACCACAGGAGCCAAGCAGCAUUGAGGAUGAGGAUCCCAUUCCACAGCCCACUGAGCCCAGCAGGGGACGUAAACAUCGCCGUGGUGAAAAUGGUUACCGUUCAGACUGUGACGUUACCAGAUCAUGCACCCAGAGAUGUCACCGUCAAACUUUGAAUGUUUUUAUAAUGAAAAGAUAAAACCUUUUUUUGUAUUUCAUCAGUGCAAGCAGUGGUGAAUUGAAGCGUAAUAAAAACUGCGACACACAUCAUCAGUCCAGUGGAGGUGGGCCAGGAGAAGUUAGCAUCUCUUAACUAGUUGGCUAGUGUUCGGUAGUUAGCUGCUGAACUGUAAAUGUUUUGCACUUCCACAACUGUGAUGGAAAGUGUGGCCUCACACCAGUGAAACACGACGAGGAAACCUUUUUUAUUUCCAAAUGAAAGAGCGACAUAUUUGGCCAUUCUUUUCAGUGUUGCUGAGGGUAGAAACUACUGUGUUUUGCUAGGCUAACGUAUUUAGUUGGCUUAAACAUUUGCUGCUUAAACUGACAACAGAAAACUGGCGUGAGUUAUAGAGAACGGAAUUAAUCAUUAAAAUAUAAGUCAAUUGUU